AUUGAACGCUGGCGGCAGGCCUAACACAUGCAAGUCGAACGAGUGGCGGACGGGUGAGUAAUGUCUGGGAACAUGCCUGAUGGAGGGGGAUAACUACUGGAAACGGUAGCUAAUACCGCAUACCAUCGGAUGUGCCCAGAUGGGAGUAGUUAGUAGGUGGGGUAACGGCUAACCUAGGCGACGAUCCCUGGCUGGUCUGAGAGGGGGACCAGCCACACUGGAACUGAGACACGGUCCAGACUCCUACGGGAGGCAGCAGUGGGGAAUAUUGCACAAGGGGCUCAAGCCUGAUGCAGCCAUGCCGCGUGUAUGAAGAAGGCCUUCGGGUUGUAAAGUACUUUCAGCGAGGAGGCGUUACUCGCAGAAGAAGCACCGGCUAACUCCGUGCCAGCAGCCGCGGUAAUUC
rnacentral:rRNA from 1 species